GUUCGCAGGAACGCUUCUUGCGUGAGCUGCGGGCAUUGGACAUCCCGCAUGAGGUUCGGAGGCUCAACGUGGGCGACUUCGUUUGGGUGUGCCGGUCGGAGGGUGGCAUACAUGGUCGGCGCGAGUGGGUUCUCGGCCCCCUGGUGGAAAGAAAGCGAACUGACGACCUAGCAAAGAGCAUCGUGGACGGCCGAUUUCACGAGCAGAAGGUGCGACUCGGUGCAUCGGGCAUCAAGCCAGUGGUCUACCUCAUCGAGGAAACGGGCGGGAAGUCCACUUCCUGCAUCUCCGACGCCGCCUUGGAGCAGGCAUUCUAAACACGCAGGUGUCGAACGGUUUCCUGAUCAAGUGGACGCGCGACCCCAGAGACACCGCCUGCUUCCUGGGCAUCACCACGUGUCACCUGCAGACCAAGAAAGCUGCAGCAACGUCAUCUGCCGAGUUCCUUGAGGGGAAGCCUACCUGGGAGGACUUCAAUGCAGGAGGAGUGAAGAGCCGGGGCCUUCAAGUACGUGAAAUGUUGGCCCUAAACCUCCUCCAAGUCAAGGGCCUUUCACUCGACAAGGCGAUGCCUCUGGUGGAAAGGUACCCAACGCCUAUAAGGUUGUUUGAAGCAUUCGAGAGAGCUGCCUCCGAUCCUCGUGGUAGAUCAGCUUUCCUGAAGGACUGUGGGAUCCCUGGCAAAGCCUUGCACGACAAGUUGUGGACUCUCUAUGGAAGUUCUGAACCGUUGCAGUGAAAGAUGGAAUCGGGGGAAUCACAAUUAAUCACUGAAAAAAAAAAGAAAUUUAUUAAAGAGAAGAUUACAUAUUUAUAUAUCACAAGAGUAGCAUCGUCUCCUCACUGUCGCUCCUUCCAUCAUCAGAAGAAACACAUCAACUUCAAACUGACGACAGAGCGGAAUUCUCAUUUCGAUUCUGGCCUCUGCAUUUUGUUGCUGUUUGCAGGAGAAAUGUCCGAAAUAAAUGUUUUUUGUUCGUUGAAGUU
rnacentral:lncRNA from 1 species